ensembl:lncRNA
CGCAGGGCCCGCCCUCUCUCUGUCCCAGCGAGGGGCGGUGCGACUCCGGCGCAGAGCGGCCGCCGAUUGGUCGGGGCGCGGAGCUGACGCCCGCCGGGCCGGGUCAGCGUUCGGCCUACGGCGGUCGCCGCCUCAUCGCCCGUCAGACGUGCGGCGCCGUUGUCGCCGUUCUGUGCGCGAGUGCCGUUGCGCGACGCGCGGCCUCGAAGCAACGCCACAGCGCGGUACCGCCCCGCGGCCGGGCGGUGUAAGCGGGGCCUCGAGCGGAGGGGACUUGCGCUGGUUGGUCGCGUUAGCGGUCAAACAGAAGUUAAAGCUAUUAAAGAGGGCAUUAUCCGAAUGCCUCACGGGCGGACAUGGAGCAGCAGCCACCUCGCUAGGAAGUCUCUGUCAGCGUUUGACCGCUCUCACUGUUGAGAAGUUUCUCGUAAUGCCAUGUCUGAACCUCCCCUAUAAAUAUGGAUAAAUAUGGGUAUGUUAUAAAUUGAAAAAUACAGCUUUAGCUGUUUGAUUUGGAGAAGGAACUUUUGUUUCCCGUAUGCAUUCCACUGCAGGACACCACUGCAAGUUCCUUUGCACAUAAUUCGGAACAAAUGAAAGCCAAACUGAUUUCUACAGAAGGGCCGUGAUGGGGGAGUUCUUUUUUUUUCUUCCAUACCCGCAGAUAACCAGUUCGGAUUUAUAUAAAGACAAAAAAUGGUUUGAACUCAGGCUCUCCUUCAGCGUGCCUCAGUGGGUAUCGGUUUCCUUGCAGCAGCAGGAGGAAAAAAGUCACCGUUGUGCGGAACUUCUUUUUUUUUUUUUUCGAUUAUUCAAAAGCCUCCUUAAUAAUACAGAACAGCUGAGGGGAUUCGUGUGAUUUUAUUCCCUGUCGAAGUCGCUGAGCAAUUACAUCCAGCCACAGGGCUGUGCUUGUGCUGCUGCCGGUUGUUGCUGGGUUCUCUCUGAUGCUUUGGAAGCUGUGCCCUCCCCAGCCUAACAUGCAGGCCUAUCGUUGGACAAAUCGAGGCUCCUUUGUUCUGAUGUUAAGCGCUAAGCCCUGACAACAGAGAACAAAAGGUCCAAGAACAGCUUGUGCUAAAGGCAAAACUUUCCUUUGCUUCGUCGUAAUUCUUCCUUGUUGGCUCUGAGAACCUUGGAGGAUCUUGGUAGCUGCCUCCUAGCGAGAGCAGAAAAUAUUGCAGUGCAGGGGCAAGACCUGAGGCUAUUUCUUUGGGUAUUAUUUCUGCUUAAGAAGACGUGUUCCUUAAAUGACCAGUUGACAAAGCAGAGUGAAAAUGGACAUCUGAACAACUUUUAGGUGCAGAAUGAUACAUCACAGGAUUGAUACGUUCUCAGCUUUGCUCCGGGGCCUGAGGAGAAGGAUGAUAUUCUCAUGCUCCAUAGGGAGCACGUCCCUCUCACUGGGAGCUGGCAGGACAAGCCUUGAGCAUUGCCUGGAAGCUGAGCCCCAGCCCCAGCCCAACCCGGAGCCUCUGGCAGUGGCGGGCAGGAACCUCACCAAGAUGCACGCGCAGACUGGGACGUGAAUGCAGAGUGCUGCCUCCCUUCCAGAAGGACACACGGGUGCAUCAUCUUCAGACUUGAGCAGUUUACCCAGAGAUAUGAAUCUUCAUGUUUCCAUUGUGAAUGGUUCUGCACUGGACCCUGAAGGUGUGAACCCCUGGCACAUAGCUCUGAUGAAAUGUAGAAUUCAGUUUGGAAAUGUGCCAUGCAAGUUCCUGGAGAUCUCAAGUACUGGAGAGUUAGUUACUUCUCCUGACUGAAAUUCACCCUGCAGACUAGUGUGAAAAGCUUUAAACAUCAAUACAUAUUGCCUUAUAAGGCUCAUACAAAUGAAAUGUAAGUCCUAAACUUUGGAAACUUGUCACUACCUAAUGCAGACAGGAUGUACUGACACACAAGCAAGGAACUCCACAUGCAAGAAAAAAUGCAAGAGAGAAAACUGGAAUACUUAAGAAAAUGGCAGAACUUGUCAAAGGCUGUUGCCAGAGCAACAGAAACCUCUCACUAAAUAUCAUUUCUGAUGUGAGACAGCUGUACCUCAGGGAAAUAUGAAGGCAACUAUUUUGAAAUGACAGGAAGAUGAUCCUUUGGCGGAUUCAGUCUCCACAUAUACAAAGACCAGAAAUGAGUAUACCAGCAGAAGGCACAUGGAGCACCAGCAGCAUUUCAUAAAUCUUCAUAACGGAAGGGGAGAUACUCCCGUCUUUUAAGACAGUUCUGAGAACAACUGCUGAGACAAGAAGCAAGAAUUUCCAGAGUCUGAAUGGAAACCUUGUGUGUCUAGCAAGUAUUUUGAGAUAAACUCCCGAAGAACCUUUAAAAUGUCAGAGAAUUAAAUGGGAAUUUGACUGAUGAUUCCAGUGAAGAUGUGGUUUUACUCCUGUGUUAGUAGGCUGAGCCAGUGAGCACUCUGACAGAUGUCAGGGAGAUCAAUGUCCUCCACAAAACGACCCUUGAAUAAUUUAUUCUGUCUUCACGAGGUCCUUCAGACAAUAUGACUGAGUGGAGAGAGGAGAAAAUGAAGGCUUGCAUGAUUUCCCACAUUUUUCUCCUAGUGGAGCUGGAGUAAAGGAUCUCCAUUUUGAGACCCUUAAUUAUUAAACCUCUUGAUACCCUUUCCCCCGUUCUCUCAUGACUUCUUCCUUUACCCCCCAAUUUUUUUUCCACUUAAAAAUCCAUUUGACAUCUGGGUGCUGAGCCAUGGCCCUAAGUUGUAGUUUUCCCAACAGGUUAUGAAGUCCUAUUUGCUGUUAUUGGUUAUUACGUUCUUUCACUUUAAACAGUAUAAAAGCAAGCACUGUAAUUUUUUCUGUCUUUGAAACGCAGAAGAGAAAAGGUUGUGUUCUUUUUAUUUGUGAGAUCUUAAUCAUAAAUUGGUUUCUUGGACAGAAAUAUUCACUUGGCAUUAAGCAACAAUAAAGGCCUUUGCUUUCACUUCAGGCUGCUUUAGAACAUUUCAAAGGCUACAGGAAAUAUUCUUUCUAUGAUUUACACUCUAUCUUAAUUGUGCAGCAGUAUUUCCAAAACAAUAUUGAAGGAUGUUCUUUUGUGGGUAGCUAAGAACAAAAAAAUCUUGUUUAACUUUUGAGCUAUGUAUAUUUUCUUGGCAAAGAAUAAUUUGGGAGAUGGAUAAAAGAUAGCUUUUUUGCUCCAAGGAAAGGCUUAGCUCUAGCAGACUGAAUUUUGUUACCAAU